AUCCCCUGACAACCCAAGAGAUUGGCGUCCCCUCGGGGACAGGUGACAGGUGGUGCAUGGUUGUCGUCAGCUCGUGUCGUGAGAUGUUGGGUUAAGUCCCGCAACGAGCGCAACCCUCGCCUCUAGUUGCCAGCAUUCGGUUGGGCACUCUAGAGGGACUGCCGGCGACAAGUCGGAGGAAGGUGGGAUGACGUCAAAUCAUCAUGCCCCUUAUGACCUGGGCUACACACGUGCUACAAUGGGCGGUACAAAGGGCUGCGAACCCGCGAGGGGGAGCGAAUCCCAAAAAGCCGCUCUCAGUUCGGAUUGCAGGCUGCAACUCGCCUGCAUGAAGCCGGAAUCGCUAGUAAUCGCGGAUCAGCAUGCCGCGGUCGAAUACGUUCCGGGCCUU
rnacentral:rRNA from 1 species